rnacentral:rRNA from 1 species
AGAAAUAACAAUACAAGGCAGUUAAAAUGCUUUGUAAUUGGAAUGAUAGAAAUUUAAACCCUUUUUAAAGUAUCAAUUGGAGGGCAAGUCUGGUGCCAGCAGCCGCGGUAAUUCCAGCUCCAAUAGCGUAUAUUAAAAUUGUUGCAGUUAAAAAGCUCGUAGUUGAAGUUCUGCUGAAAGUAACCGGUCUGCUUUUAAUAAAAGUGGUAUCUUGGUAUGUAUUUAGCAAUGAUGUCCUUUGAAGUGUUUUUUACUUUAUUGUAAUAAAGCAUAUUCAGGACUUUUACUUUGAGAAAAUUAGAGUGUUUCUAGCAGGCUGACGCUUUGAAUACUGCAGCAUGGAAUAA